GGAAACUGACCACAACGUCAUUCAUUCUUCGUUUGAAAAGUAAACAAAUAUACGGACGUUUUUGCAAAAUUGAAGAAAGCCAGAUUGCAGUACUCAAACAUCAACGGCGUUUCGUUCCGAGCCAACCGAUGUCGAAGUUUUUAAAAUAGUCAGGCCAAAGCUGACUCCGUACUAGUACUAUCCGGAUGUAAACCACAAACAACGCUAGGUUCAUAAAAGUGUCGUAUUAAACGUGACUGUCCAUUAGCUAAAUCCUAUCAUAUUUCGAUUGUCUGGUCGCGGCACCGGGAAAGAUCUUAACACAAAACAAUCAGUAAAUGAGAUAAAUA